rnacentral:rRNA from 1 species
AGUGAACGCUGGCGGUAGGCCUAACACAUGCAAGUCGAACGGCAGCACAGUAAGAGCUUGCUCUUACGGGUGGCGAGUGGCGGACGGGUGAGGAAUACAUCGGAAUCUACUUUUUCGUGGGGGAUAACGUAGGGAAACUUACGCUAAUACCGCAUACGACCUACGGGUGAAAGCAGGGGAUCUUCGGACCUUGCGCGAUUGAAUGAGCCGAUGUCGGAUUAGCUAGUUGGCGGGGUAAAGGCCCACCAAGGCGACGAUCCGUAGCUGGUCUGAGAGGAUGAUCAGCCACACUGGAACUGAGACGCGGUCCAGACUCCUACGGGAGGCAGCAGUGGGGAAUAUUGGACAAUGGGCGCAAGCCUGAUCCAGCCAUACCGCGUGGGUGAAGAAGGCCUUCGGGUUGUAAAGCCCUUUUGUUGGGAAAGAAAAGCAGCAGGUUAAUACCCCGCCGUUCUGACGGUACCCAAAGAAUAAGCACCGGCUAACUUCGUG